GAAGAAUUAAAGGUCGAACAGACCUCCAUAUUUAUCUAAAAAUGGCCCCUCAAUUCAACAUCGAGGUCGUAAGUCUUUAAAUAACACUAAAUUAUUAUUUAAAAUUACGCUGUUAUCCCUAAAGUAACUCUAAAUCCAUAAAAGAUAAUAUAUUUCAUAAAUAUAUGUUUAAUUUAUUAAAGUUUUUUAAUUACCGCCCCAGCUUAACUAUUAGGAAAUUCUAUUUCCUAUUCUAUAAAUCAAUCUUCAUAAUAAAGUUUUAUAGGGUCUUAUCGUCUUUCUAGCUCAGCUAUACUUUUAAAUAUAGAUAUCAAUUUCUAAACCUAAACCUAAAAAGUCAAAAUGUUGUUGACUCUUUCAUCCCAGUUCUCUAUUAUAGAACAAAUGAUUAUGCUACCUUAGCACAGUUAAAAUUCUGCGGCUAUUUACUUCUUUCACUGAGCAGAGUUUACUAAUUUAAAAACUAGAA
rnacentral:rRNA from 1 species